CAGCGCUUCGGCGCCACCUGAUGACGUCGUCUGGCUCCAGAAACAGAGCGCAGGUCCGUUGUGAUUGGGUCGUGUUGGAUGGUCUGGUGCAGCAUCAGAGCCAAUAAACCGGCUCGAUUCGUCAUCGCUGUCCUCAGAUUCCUCUCCUGCUCAAACAGCUCGUCCAGCUUAUACCACUGAGAGAGAGACAUAAAGGGGACGGCAAAACUCUCCAGUCGGCUCAAACACGUCUUUCACCAGAGGACACCCACACACCUCGUCUGCUGGGAUCUGACAGGGAGACAGGGAGAGAGACAGACAGGGAGAGAGAUCAGUGGAUCACUUUCAUAUUGUUAUAU